rnacentral:rRNA from 1 species
AUUGAACGCUGGCGGCAGGCCUAACACAUGCAAGUCGAGCGAUCGGCGGACGGGUGCGUAAUGUCUGGGGCUCUGCCCGAUAGAGGGGGAUCACUACUGGAAACGGUGGCUAAUACCGCCUACUAUCGGAUGCACCCAUAUGGGAUUAGCUAGUAGGUGGGGUAAAGGCUCACCUAGGCGACGAUCUCUAGCUGGUCUGAGAGGAUGAUCAGCCAAACUGGAACUGAGACACGGCCCAGACUCCUACGGGAGGCAGCAGUGGGGAAUAUUGCACAAUGGGCGCAAGCCUGAUGCAGCCAUGCCGCGUGUAUGAAGAAGGCCUUAGGGUUGUAAAGUACUUUCAGCGAGGAGGCGUUACCCGCAGAAGAAGCACCGGCUAACUCCGUGCCAGCCGCCGCGGUAAUUC